rnacentral:sRNA from 1 species
UGCUCCCUGGUCACUCUCGAUAAUAACCAACAACUUCCGCUUGGGAUGGAGAACAAACUUUC